GACGAACGCUGGCGGCGUGCUUAACACAUGCAAGUCGAACGGUAAGGCCCUUCUUUUUUGGGGUGCUCGAGUGGCGAACGGGUGAGUAACACGUGAGUAACCUGCCCUUCCCUUUUGUUUAACUUCAGGAAACUGGGGCUUAUCCCGGAUAGGAGCUCCUGCUUCAUGGUGGGGGUUGGAAAGUUUCGGCGGUUGGUUAUGGACUCGCGGCUUAUCAGCUUGUUGGUGGGGUAGUGGCUUACCAAGGCUUUGACGGGUAGCCGGCCUGAGAGGGUGACCGGCAACAUUGGGACUGAGAUACGGCCCAGAAGCCUACGGGAGGCAGCAGUGGGGAAUAGUGCAAAAUGGGCGGAAGCCUGAUGCAGCAACGCCGCGUGCGGGAUGAAGGCCUUCGGGUUGUAAACCGCUUUCGCCUGUGACGAAGCGUGAGUGACGGUAAUGGGUAAAGAAGCACCGGCUAACUACGUG
rnacentral:rRNA from 1 species